AGCCUCGACGGCUGAACAUGGACAGCCUCCGCCAGAUCACCGUGAUGGUCAAGCUGUCGUUGGACUUGCAAGACGAGUUGUAGCGGCUGGCUGGACCCCCAGAGGCCUCUGUUUCCUCUUGGCUCCAGCAACCACUGGCACCAGAGAAUCCCACAACUCAUCAGUCUCUGUUUCUUCAUAGGGGACUGGGGCAGGAUCUCUGGCCUCAUCCUGGUCUCCAUUUCCUCCAGGAUGAACUGAUCACCAAGAUCCAGCUCUGGAGCCUAUGAUUUCACAUGACUCACAAGAUCAUAGCUUAGAACUGGAAGGGAACUCAGAAACCUUCUAGUCCAAUGCCCUCAUUUACAAAUGAGGAAACAGAAGCACAAGGAAAUCAAGGGAAAGGAACAAAUGCUAAGCUACAUGCUUACGUGGCAGCUAUGUGCCAAACACUGUGCUGAGCAGUCUUUACAACUCUCCUCUGAGCCUCACAAUAACUGAGGGAGGGAGGGGAUAUUAUCAACCCCAUUUUACUGCUGAGGAAACUGAGGCCAGUGGAGGUAAAGGGGCACGCUCAGGGUCAUCGGCUACUCCGUGUCUGGUUCCUGACUCCAGGCCCAAGGUCUGAGGGGCACUAAGGAUGGGGGGGGUUGGAGCCCAGGUCCUCAGGUUCCAGGCCGAUCCCCCCUCCACACCAGCAGCUUUGUCUCCCCACCCAUCCACCCCCAGCCCUCAAGGGCUGCCUUGCC